CUACCCCUGGUGUAAAAAGCAUAUCUGCCUUCCAAGUAGAUGGUUCACAUUAUGUGGGAGGUAGA
rnacentral:tRNA from 1 species